rnacentral:rRNA from 1 species
UCGAGGAUCUUUCGCAAUGGGCGCAAGCCUGACGAAGCGACGCCGUGUGAGUGAAGAAGGCCUUCGGGUUGUAAAACUCUUUCGCUUGGGAACAAGAAAAGCGAAUUAAUAAUUCGCUAAUUUGAGGGUACCAGGUAAAGAAGCACCGGCUAACUCCGUGCCAGCAGCUGCGGUAAUACGGAGGGUGCAAGCAUUAAUCGGAUUUAUUGGGCGUAAAGGGCGCGUAGAUGGUUUGGAAAGUCAGAUGUGAAAUUCCGGGGCUCAACCUCGGAGCGGCAUCUGAAACUCCCAUGACUAGAGGAUAGGUGGGGAAAACGGAAUUCCACAUGUAGCGGUGAAAUGCGUAGAUAUGUGGAAGAACACCGGUGGCGAAGGCGGUUUUCUAACCUACACCUGACAUUGAGGCGCGAAAGCGUGGGGAGCAAACAGGAUUAGAUACCCCCGUAGUCC